GUUAUGGUGGCAGAACCCGGUGAUUGCAAAAGGUCUAAGCCCUUUCUACAGGGGUUCAAAUCCCCUCCAUAACU
rnacentral:tRNA from 1 species